rnacentral:lncRNA from 1 species
GCAGCAGCGGGCGUGCGGAGCCUGCGAGUGUGACGCGGCCGCCUUCUCGGAUCCCAGUUCCAAAAGCUCUGUUUUGAGUUCUCCAGGCUUUGGUGAAAUUUCAGGUAUGGGCAAGUCCAGUCGAUAGUACCUGUGCACCACUUCUGUCCCUGCGCACAUGGCCAGGAGGCUGGCUGCGAGCAUUUUCAGUAUAGUCGGUGGAGUUCAUCAGGACACACAAGAGGCACAGAAUACCAAUGUCUUGGGAAAACCAGAAAGAGAUGUCUAAGCAGAGCAAGCCAAAAGUUCCUGGUGACCAAAGGAGGGACAAAAAAACAGACAAGAGAAAAUAUAUUGAAGAAUAGCAGCAGAUUCCUGAAUUCAACACAGCAGUUUUCACAACUACAUUACAGCAUCAUAAAGAUGAAGUGGCUGGUGACAUAUUCGACAUGCUGCCCACCUUUACUGAUGUUUUAGCUUUUAUAGAAAUGCUUUUGGACUACAGAGCAGAAAAAGAAGGCUGGGUCACAACAAAGUCACCACUGGACUUAAACUGUGUUCCAGUGGUGACUUUGAACAGGAAACAUGUAUAUAAUCUCUAGAAAGAAGAAAAAACAUAGUAGUUCAAUUCCCAAUGGGUACCUUUGAAUAUUUCAAUAUUAAAAAUAAGAAUCUGUACUGAAAAUAAAUGAAUCAUCUGUGAUGGAGGGAGGAGGUGAUAUGAACAAGAUGGAAGUAAAAUACCACAAAAAAGAACCCCAUUUUAGUGGGGAGGUAUAUGAUUAAAUUUCAAAUAUUUCCUAGUUUUUGUAUUGUUCAGAAAGUGUAUAUAAAUGUGAUUAACUUUUGACUUUUAGUAAGCAAAUAAGUAAAAUUUUAAGUUAUACAAAUCAUCUGUACCAGCUUUUCCAGAUUGUCACAGAACAAUCUGCGACACUAGGUCCUACCUCCAACCAAUAAAUGGGAUCAUUCUGGAUGUCACCGGCCCAAUUAGCCAACAGACUCUGCCCAUGAUGAUGACAGAAGAAUACGUCUUAGAAAGACUAACUCUGUUCUGCAAUUCUUCAUUCAUGCUAAGUAUUGAUAGGUCAAAACCAAAAUGACCUAACCUUCUUAGACCUAUUUCUCCUGAAACGCCUUAUUGUAUUCAUUAACCUUAAUAUUCCUUCCCACUUAGUAAACUGGUACUUCUCCCCUCCUCAAGUAGACACCUCUCUCGGGUGUUUCUGAGUUAGACUCCUCUGGAG